UACGGGGGGUGCGAGCGUUGUCCGGAAUCACUGGGCGUAAAGGGCGCGUAGGUGGUCUGAUAAGGGUGUGGUGAAAGCCCAGAGCUCAACUCUGGAAUUGCCUUUGAGACUGAGUGGCUUGAGUACGAGAGAGGUGAGUGGAAUUCCCAGUGUAGAGGUGAAAUUCGUAGAUAUUGGGAAGAACACCGGUGGCGAAGGCGGCUCACUGGCUCGUAACUGACGCUCAUGCACGACAGCGUGGGGAUCAAACAGG
rnacentral:rRNA from 1 species